UCAACACCCUCCAGCCUGACUGCAGCAGC
rnacentral:misc_RNA from 1 species